rnacentral:rRNA from 1 species
CUACCAUUGAGACGGGGAUAACAUCCCGAAAGGGGUGCUAAUACCGGAUACGAUGAGAGGUUCACAAGGCCCUCUCAUGAAAGGUGACCUCUUCCUGAAAGUUGCCGCUCAUUGAUGAGCCCGCGUCCCAUUAGCUUGUUGGUGGGGUAAUGGCCUACCAAGGCGAAGAUGGGUAGCUGGUCUGAGAGGAUGAUCAGCCACACUGGAACUGAGAUACGGUCCAG